AGCGAACGCUGGCGGCAGGCUUAACACAUGCAAGUCGAGCGGGCAUCCUUGUGGUGUCAGCGGCAGACGGGUGAGUAACGCGUGGGAACGUGCCCUUCGUUUCGGAAUAACUCAGGGAAACUUGAGCUAAUACCGGAUACGUGCGAGAGCAGAAAGGUUUAUCUGCCGAAGGAUCGGCCCGCGUCUGAUUAGCUAGUUGGUGAGGUUACGGCUCACCAAGGCGACGAUCAGUAGCUGGUCUGAGAGGAUGAUCAGCCACACUGGGACUGAGACACGGCCCAGACUCCUACGGGAGGCAGCAGUGGGGAAUAUUGGACAAUGGGGGCAACCCUGAUCCAGCCAUGCCGGGUGAGUGAUGACGGCCUUAGGGUUGUAAAGCUCUUUUCUCCGGGACGAUAAUGACGGUACCGGAGGAAUAAGCCCCGGCUAACUUCGUG
rnacentral:rRNA from 1 species